UUAAGUUAGAAAGGGCGCACGGUGGAUGCCUUGACACUAGGAGUCGAUGAAGGACGGGACUAACGCCGAUAUGCUUCGGGGAGCUGUAAGUAAGCUUUGAUCCGAAGAUUUCCGAAUGGGGAAACCCACCAUACGUAAUGGUAUGGUAUCCUUAUCUGAAUACAUAGGGUAAGGAAGACAGACCCAGGGAACUGAAACAUCUAAGUACCUGGAGGAAGAGAAAGCAAAUGCGAUUUCCUGAGUAGCGGCGAGCGAAACGGAACAUAGCCCAAACCAAGAGGCUUGCCUCUUGGGGUUGUAGGACAUUCUAUACGGAGUUACAAAGGAACGAGGUAGACGAAGCGACCUGGAAAGGUCCGUCGUAGAGGGUAACAACCCCGUAGUCGAAACUUCGUUCUCUCUUGAAUGUAUCCUGAGUACGGCGGAACACGUGAAAUUCCGUCGGAAUCUGGGAGGACCAUCUCCCAAGGCUAAAUACUCCCUAGUGAUCGAUAGUGAACCAGUACCGUGAGGGAAAGGUGAAAAGCACCCCGGAAGGGGAGUGAAAGAGAUCCUGAAACCGUGUGCCUACAAAUAGUCAGAGCCCGUUAACGGGUGAUGGCGUGCCUUUUGUAGAAUGAACCGGCGAGUUACGAUCCCGUGCGAGGUUAAGCUGAAGAGGCGGAGCCGCAGCGAAAGCGAGUCUGAAUAGGGCGUUUAGUACGUGGUCGUAGACCCGAAACCAGGUGAUCUACCCAUGUCCAGGGUGAAGUUCAGGUAACACUGAAUGGAGGCCCGAACCCACGCACGUUGAAAAGUGCGGGGAUGAGGUGUGGGUAGCGGAGAAAUUCCAAUCGAACCUGGAGAUAGCUGGUUCUCCCCGAAAUAGCUUUAGGGCUAGCCUUAAGUGUAAGAGUCUUGGAGGUAGAGCACUGAUUGGACUAGGGGUCCUCAUCGGAUUACCGAAUUCAGUCAAACUCCGAAUGCCAAUGACUUAUCCUUAGGAGUCAGACUGCGAGUGAUAAGAUCCGUAGUCAAAAGGGAAACAGCCCAGACCGCCAGCUAAGGUCCCAAAGUGUGUAUUAAGUGGAAAAGGAUGUGGAGUUGCUUAGACAACUAGGAUGUUGGCUUAGAAGCAGCCACCAUUUAAAGAGUGCGUAAUAGCUCACUAGUCGAGUGACUCUGCGCCGAAAAUGUACCGGGGCUAAAUACACCACCGAAGCUGCGGAUUGAUACCGAAUGGUAUCAGUGGUAGGGGAGCGUUCUAAGGACAGUGAAGUCAGACCGGAAGGACUGGUGGAGUGCUUAGAAGUGAGAAUGCCGGUAUGAGUAGCGAAAGACGGGUGAGAAUCCCGUCCACCGAAUGCCUAAGGUUUCCUGAGGAAGGCUCGUCCGCUCAGGGUUAGUCAGGACCUAAGCCGAGGCCGACAGGCGUAGGCGAUGGACAACAGGUUGAUAUUCCUGUACCACCUCUUUAUCGUUUGAGCAAUGGAGGGACGCAGAAGGAUAGAAGAAGCGUGCGAUUGGUUGUGCACGUCCAAGCAGUUAGGCUGAUAAGUAGGCAAAUCCGCUUAUCGUAAAGGCUGAGCUGUGAUGGGGAAGCUCCUUAUGGAGCGAAGUCUUUGAUUCCCCGCUGCCAAGAAAAGCUUCUAGCGAGAUAAAAGGUGCCUGUACCGCAAACCGACACAGGUAGGCGAGGAGAGAAUCCUAAGGUGUGCGAGAGAACUCUGGUUAAGGAACUCGGCAAAAUGACCCCGUAACUUCGGGAGAAGGGGUGCUUUCUUAACGGAAAGCCGCAGUGAAUAGGCCCAAGCGACUGUUUAGCAAAAACACAGCUCUCUGCGAAGCCGUAAGGCGAAGUAUAGGGGGUGACACCUGCCCGGUGCUGGAAGGUUAAGGAGAGGGGUUAGCGUAAGCGAAGCUCUGAACUGAAGCCCCAGUAAACGGCGGCCGUAACUAUAACGGUCCUAAGGUAGCGAAAUUCCUUGUCGGGUAAGUUCCGACCCGCACGAAAGGUGUAACGAUUUGGGCACUGUCUCAACCAGAGACUCGGUGAAAUUAUAGUACCUGUGAAGAUGCAGGUUACCCGCGACAGGACGGAAAGACCCCGUGGAGCUUUACUGUAGCCUGAUAUUGAAUUUUGGUACAGUUUGUACAGGAUAGGCGGGAGCCUUUGAAACCGGAGCGCUAGCUUCGGUGGAGGCGCUGGUGGGAUACCGCCCUGACUGUAUUGAAAUUCUAACCUACGGGUCUUAUCGACCCGGGAGACAGUGUCAGGUGGGCAGUUUGACUGGGGCGGUCGCCUCCUAAAGUGUAACGGAGGCGCCCAAAGGUUCCCUCAGAAUGGUUGGAAAUCAUUCGUAGAGUGCAAAGGCAUAAGGGAGCUUGACUGCGAGACCUACAAGUCGAGCAGGGACGAAAGUCGGGCUUAGUGAUCCGGUGGUUCCGCAUGGAAGGGCCAUCGCUCAACGGAUAAAAGCUACCCCGGGGAUAACAGGCUUAUCUCCCCCAAGAGUCCACAUCGACGGGGAGGUUUGGCACCUCGAUGUCGGCUCAUCGCAUCCUGGGGCUGUAGUCGGUCCCAAGGGUUGGGCUGUUCGCCCAUUAAAGCGGUACGCGAGCUGGGUUCAGAACGUCGUGAGACAGUUCGGUCCCUAUCCGUCGUGGGCGUAGGAAAUUUGAGAGGAGCUGUCCUUAGUACGAGAGGACCGGGAUGGACGCACCGCUGGUGUACCAGUUGUUCUGCCAAGGGCAUAGCUGGGUAGCUAUGUGCGGAAGGGAUAAGUGCUGAAAGCAUCUAAGCAUGAAGCCCCCCUCAAGAUGAGAUUUCCCAUAGCGUAAGCUAGUAAGAUCCCUGAAAGAUGAUCAGGUUGAUAGGUUCGAGGUGGAAGCAUGGUGACAUGUGGAGCUGACGAAUACUAAUAGAUCGAGGACUUAACC
rnacentral:rRNA from 2 species